GACGAACGCUGGCGGCGUGCCUAACACAUGCAAGUCGAACGGUGAUACAUGAGCUGCAAUGUGAGUGUAUCAUAGUGGCGGACGGGUGAGUAACGCGUGAGCGACCUGGCUUUAAGAGGGGGAUAACACCGGGAAACCGGUGCUAAUACCGCGUAAGACCACAGUACCGCAUGGUACAGAGGUAAAAGGAGAAAUCCGCUUAAAGAUGGGCUCGCGUCCCAUUAGCUAGUUGGUGAGGUAAUGGCCCACCAAGGCUUCGAUGGGUAGCCGACCUGAGAGGGUGAUCGGCCACACUGGAACUGAGAAACGGUCCAGACUCCUACGGGAGGCAGCAGUGGGGAAUAUUGGCAAUGGGCGAAAGCCUGACCCAGCAACGCCGCGUGAGGGAAGAAGGUUUUCGGAUUGUAAACCUCUGUCCUUGGGGACGAAAAAAAUGACGGUACCCAGGGAGGAAGCCCCGGCUAACUACGUGCCAGCCGCCGCGGUAAUAC
rnacentral:rRNA from 1 species